CUGAGACGUCUCAGCAUACACACAGAGUAGAGAAUUGCGUAUAUUGAUUCAAUAGAGAGAUUAAACAAUGGGGACUAGAUGGUCUUGCAGAGUGUUUCCUAAAGAAGAGCAAAUGACGACCGCUCAAGAAGAGGAGACAAGAUCAUCAUUAGUUAAGGUGCAGCCUCAGAAGAGCAGCCCCCUGCUCCCUGGGCAAGCUGUGCAGACCUUGAAGGUUGAAUAUUGGGAAGCUCCAUUCAUGGUCAAGAUCCAGUCCCGAAAGAGAAGAUCCUGUAUGUAUUCUGGCAUAACUUCCUUAGGGCACAGUUUUCUUAGAGGAGAAUGUUGUAAAUGCCGGUUGUCCUUUGCCUGCUCACCACUAUUUUUUUUUCUUUUAGUAGCUGACUGUCAAUGGAGACAGCCAGUGUAGCCUAAAUAACAAAACAGCAACUGGUACCCAAUAACAAAUCAAGUUCACGCCCCACUAAUCCCUGCAUUUACCUCCAAAAUUUCCUUCUCUGGAGAUGUCUGCAAGUGGGUUUCCCCUAUUACCUCCCAGUCUAUCGCCCAAUCUUCACCACAAAGUCAGAAUUCACACUUUGCCUACAUUACAUUGUUGCAACUUCGACCAGUCAUAUAUGGGAGAUUUCUCAGCUUACCCUCUCAACUUAGGAACCAAGCAAGAUGCCAGGUUGUGCCUGGAAUCAGUCAGGCAAGCUAUGGAGGGCUGGAGCAAAUGGGUUUCCAAAUAUGAGGUGUCACCCUCUACCUAAUGCCUCACCAGGACAUGAGUCACUAGGGAAGAGGUCUACCUCCCAAGAAAACCCAGAAAAAGGACAACCUGCAGAGAAUAAAAACACUGCGAUUCCUGCCAUGCACACCAGACACCUGGUGCAGGGUCCAUGCACCUGUCUGCAUGUCUCCACAGCUGUGAGUGGCUAAGAAAGCCCAGGUGUGCUGGAAGAAAAUUGCACAGCCUAUCUCUCAUGAGAUCCUGAGUUUGUUCCUCUGUUCUGUGUAAACUGGGUUAUUGUGGCACUCUGCAGGUCAGAGGCUCAAGGUCAACUCCAGUCUCAUGUCAAGCCAGUGACAUGAGAUGAUGUGUGGAAACAGCAACCACCGUGAUGAAACCCAGAAAAGAGUCCACCUGAAUCUGGUCACAGUGAAACAUACAAUCAGAAAAGUCUAUACUCAAAGACAAAGUGGAUGUGUGUCAUAAUUGGGUUCCGUUUAAACACGGCUAAUUCUAGUAAUAACUGGUAUCAUACAUCAUCAAUAAGGAGGUCUUUAUUAUACACACACAGGACCACACACUCUGCUAUGGCCUUCUAUCUACAAAGAACUCCAAUGCCAAGUUAUCACUCAAGGCUCCUUGACCAUUCUUUUUCAAAGACAUGCUAGACUCUAUGCCUAUAAAUACUUCCCAGCACAGAGUCAGAUUCCGUGUUGACUGACGAGUGUGAGCAAAGGAAGCAGACACAGAGAUCUCCAUCCACUCACUGUAUACACACAGUCAGAACUGACUGGUGUAUGACCUCAUGACAUCAUUUCUCAACUACCUGGUGUUUCAAGCAGUUUUUGCUUUGAGGCAUUGGAAAGGAGGAUUUUGGUCAAGGGGAGUUAACACUGUCUUUUGCCUGGAUGGCCUGUAUAGGGUGGAGGUGACUUUUGUCUAGAAACUGGACUUUGGUGAGGAAGGCCACAGCCUGAAAGGUGCACACACAGACUAACACAGCAUUCUUCCAUUCUCCCAGCUGGGCCCAAGCCAGGUUCAUGAGAUUCUGAGGUGACUGUCAUCAGAAAGGGGUGUGAGGACACAAAGUCCAUUAAAUGAUCAGAGCACCAAGCCUCUUGUCCUAGAACUUGAUGUUAUAGGAGUUUGUGUAAAGUUGGUCAACUGAAGGGAAGUGUCUUUGUCUCAAACAUUGUGUGACAACCAAGUUAGAAUGGCUCGGAGCCUGAGUCACUGUGUGCUCUCCUCCCCAUGUGCUUGUCUUUCCAUUGCACACGUCCACUGAGAGACAGCCGAGAGCAUGAAGGUAGAACUCCCCUGGAUCCAUCACACCGUGGGCAUGGCAGGAAGUGGCCUCUCUUGUUUUAUAGAUGGAAAAAUAGGAACUGCAAUAUUUAAUUUAAUGAAGUGGUUAGGUAGCAAUGAAAUGAAGGUGACUGAAAGAGGAAGAGGUGAGAAGUAGCAGGUGUAGAUGGCGCCUUUCCUGCCUCCUCCUUGGAGGUGAUAUUAUGCGCUUCCCUGAAACUGGAAACAUCGUGAUUGGGAAAAAGAUGAAGAGCACUGUGUGCUGCCCAAAGGCUGUGCGAACACCGUCUCUGGUUCUAGCCCUGAGGUCUAGCUGAUUCUCUGGCACUUAGGAGACUACACACAGCUCUUCUGUAGACUUGUGCUUUUCUUUACGGCUUUACAGUCAUUGGGUUUUCGUUGUUGAUGUUUUUUGUUAUUGUUGUUGUAUUGUAGGCUCACUGGAGUUAAAAAUGAGUCCUCAAGAGAAAUGUCAGCUUUGAAAGAAUGGAGUAUGAGGAAUUGCACAAAUUUACCUCUGUUCAAGUGUCUUUUAAAGCUAUUUGCAUGUGGGUACCUGGUACCAUGCCCACACCCACACUCACAGUACUCUACCCUGUCUACUGACCACCCAUACACACUGACGCUUCCCUACACUUACCAUGGAGUGGAUAGGUGAAGUGUACACAGGUCUCAGAGGUCGUCCAAGAGUAUCAAUGGGAACAGAUGAUUGUACUUCAAGAAAGUAAUGAUGUCAAUGCUCAAACACAGAGCAGUUAUGGGUUUUCAUGGAUUUCUUCAAAAUAUUCAGCUCUUAACUUUUUUUCCCUGUGAUGGCGGCCAGUGUCAGCCAUCAUGAAAAGGCUACAAUUAACCAACAAACACUCCUUGAGGCAGCGUGUCUUCACCGUAACACAACAUCCUCCUGAAAAAGAGCAGCAAUGCAGCUUCAUGAAAGAAGACCAAGUGGAGCAGGAGCAUGAUGAGGACAAUCUCAGUCUGCUGAUCAAGAGUGAGGAAGGGGUGAUCG